CAAAAAGAUGCAUCCACUUGACCUAAGCCUUUUACUACUGUCUCCUUGAGGAAAGAGUCAGAGUUUUAUUGGUUGGCAUUUUACAAAUGAAAGACUUUUAUUUGCCGGAGAAUAUAAUUCCUAGAUUACCCCCAAACUGCAGCUCCAGAAAAAGGGGGUGAAGAGUUACAAUCUAAAAGAAAAAGACAACUAUUAUUUGUAUAUCAUAUAAGUCACACGAGUAUUCUAGAAUCAAGAUUUCUGAACUGAUCAUCUGAUUCCAUUCAUCGGUUUGCACAUCUGAAGAAACCAAGCUCCCAGGCAAAAUGGCCCGAAAGAUUUAGCUGGUUGGCAAAAUCUACUGACUUCUUUCCUAAUGUCCUGUUAGUGUUAAAACAAAAAGUCAAAACUUUUAUUCAUUGAAAUAUUGCUUAUCCACAGUAACUGCAACUAGAUAAUGUAUUUUAUACGAAGUCCUGCCACUAGAAUUUAUAUAACAGAGACCUCUCAUCUCUCCCAGGAAGAGUCUAAGGAGACGAGGUUGACACCUGAAUCCCAUCAGUCUGCAGAACAAGGUUGAUAAGAGAGAUACUUGGUCCCUGGCCAUAUUGUGGAGUCAAGGUUUAUAGCUGAGACGGGGGCAAAGAGCUCUACAAAUUCUAAAUAUCAUCAUACUUGUCACAAAUAAUGCUGUGGAGCACAUGCUGGGGACCUAUUCGAUUGCCUGGCACGUAGAGCGCGCAUAGACAAAUGUGCAGUGAAGGUGAAGUUAAAGUUUUGAAUAACUUAGUAAAAGCUGGGCUGUGCAGGCAAUCCACUUGCUGGAAGAAAAAAAAAAAAAAACAAUCCUCCAAUACCGCGGGGGCGCCCGAGUGGCCGCUGCUGUACCAGAUUCAACAGGUCAUGGAGCCGACUAUUCACCGCAGGAGCGCGGACCCGGGUGGGCGCAGGGCACGUCCCAAACUUGGCCGCCCACCCUUCCCGCGCGAGCGCCGCGGCCCGCGUGUCCCACCCAGCCCAGGCCUUGGAGCGGGUCAUGAGCACCUACCCGCAUGCCUCUGCGCCGAGUCAGGUGCAGAAAGCCGAGAGCCUCAGGGCGGCCGCGGUCUCACGCACGGUGGUCCGGGCUGUGGCUACCCUAAUGCCAACUCCGCAGACAGCUGUGAGGUCAGCGCCCCCGCCACGCUGACAAUUCACCGGCUGCGAAGAUGGACUCCCGCCAGGCCCCGCCCCCGCCCGGGGCCGCACGCCGAGCGCCUGCACGCUCUGGAGGUCGUUGCCUGGGGCAGCCAGCUCCUGGUGAUUACCCGCAAUUUUGGACUUUCCUUUGUUUGUAACUGCAUCAUGUAAAACACAUCUAGAGGAAGGCAGUCCAUGUCUGCUUCUGGUGGCUUCAGAUUUAUUAGAGACCAAUAGUAAAUAUCUUCCAUUCUGAGUACACCAGAGAGACGAGAUUCCUGUUGGAGCUUCAAUCUACUUUUUCCUCAUUCUAAAGUACACAGAGAAUGGGUCAACAAGAAAGUGUGACUCCCAGUCUGGCUCUCAAGCUGAAUGUGGACACCCUCUCUCAAGUCUCCAUGCCCAGCGGUGCCUCAAGGAUACAAUCUUGAGAUAGAAAUGUGGUGAUGAGAUCAUCUGGACUAGGUACAUGACCAAAUCCAGUUAAGGCCCCUAUAUUUAAGAUCUGACUGGUGAGUGCAGAGGUCUACACAUCUUGCGGCCACCCAAGACAAGCCUCAUAAGUAAGUUAUCUGGUUUAUUAAACCCUCACCUACCAAUCUGGAGUGGUUCUCCUUUUUCUUGUCUCUCCCUGCUUUCCAUGUUUGGGGGGCAAGUUUCAGAUUACACCAAGACAUUCCAAUGAGGUUUCAAACUACAAAAAGUAUUUUUUUAUACACACACUAUUUCAUUUCCCUCCUAAAAUCUUAUAUUUUUCUUUCAGAUAAAAAAAAAAUGUAGAAAAGUAAUAUUGGAUGGGGUAGAAGAGUA